rnacentral:tRNA from 1 species
CGUUUUAGAAACAUUCAGGGGCCAACAGUUUCAGGAUUGUUGAGCUCCAUUGGCGGGAUUUCGCCGUCUUCGUUUCUCUUUCUUCGCGGACGAACACGCGCCAGGGGCUGAGCGCUGUGCGAUGCAUCGACUUCACGUCAGGUGCGCGCCGGCAUGUCUCUCGUGUUAGGGGCUUGUAGCUCAGUUGGUUAGAGCGCGCGCUUGAUAAGCGUGAGGUCGGAAGUUCAAGUCUUCCCAGGCCCACCACGCUUCGCCGUCGGCUACGCGUGGCGCAGCCACGUAGGAGACGAAGCGAAGCGUGCCCGGCAUAGCCCGAAGGGCGACGACGGGCGCAACGAGAGCAUUCGUCUUCUGGUACGGGGCCAUAGCUCAGCUGGGAGAGCGCGUGCUUUGCAAGCAUGAGGUCGUCGGUUCGAUCCCGUCUGGCUCCACCAGAUGGAAUUGAAGCUCGAGACUACUCCUUGUGGAGCUAGCUCUGUUCAUUUCGUCCGCGAAACAUCACUUCGCACUCAUUGGUCCGGAUGGACGGUGACGUGCGUGUUUUCUGACAUCGUAAAGAGGAGAUCGAUCCGAGUUUGGAUCUGCGAAGCAAUUCGCGGGUACCAUUCCUAAUCUCCAGAUCGUUUUCGGCGCUCGCGCAUCGCAGUUCAUCGCAAGAUGAGUGAGAUGAGCGAGUUGUAAAACGAUCUUUGUAGCGAAGCUUGACCGCCUCGCUAUCGGGCCGAUCUUACGAAGCAAGCUGGGUCUUUCUAGUCAAUGUCCGGCUGCGCGAUAGCACUCAUCGAGGGGUGCGCGGCCUUAACCG